UGUUUAUCUAAAUAUAUAUAUAUAUAUCUGUCAUCUAAUGUCUUCAGCAGAGAUAAAGCAUCUUAUGACAUUUAAAUAAAAAAUAAUAAUCUGAAUUGAGCCUUCAGUGUUCAAGAAUAGGUGAUGUACAGAAUAGGUCCCCAACUAGUGCAGUCUCUGGGUGCUGACACAACAGCAGCAUUCAGUAGGACGUAAGUUGCCCUAUAAACAAUGUGGACUUUGUUGGCUACAACUAAAACCAUAUACACAAUCUACAGUCACUCACUUGGAUAACACAUUUGGGGUCCAGUUGCUUUUGGUGCUCAGAGGAACCUGUGAACGUCCUUAUGCUCAAGGAGUUCUUGUGUUCCAGGUUGCCCUGCUCACGUCCUGAUGCCUGACCCUGCAGGCUGCAGUGGUGGGAUUGAUUUGGUGCUGGAGAACCCUUCCAGGGUGGUGUGGAGCUGAGGGAUCCACUGGUUUCCAGUAUGGAAGGGCUUUGCGCUCAAGAUGGGAGCAGAGGCCUGGAGGGGCUAAUCCUGAACUGCAUUUAGAGGAUUGCACAGGAAAUUACACCCCACACGACUUGAGAACGUGCUGGGGAGAGAAGUGACUUUCAGGGAUCACAUAGGAAGCUACUGGCAGAAGAAGGAACUGAAAUAGUCUCCCAGAGGCAGCUGCAAGAGGACAGAUAUGACCACGAGCAGACAACAGCACUCACUUGGGUGUCAAAGACACAGAAGGAAAUGAACUGCAGAGAUAGCUCCUGCCUCACAGCUCUGCAGAGGACACUCAUGGACUCCUCAAGUUAGGGAAGACGUGGGUUUCAGAAGCUCUCAGAACCUUGUACCCAAGUCUGCUUCUGUAUGGAUCAUUCUGACAGAUACUGAAGGGCUCAGAUUUAAGGUGGUGGGAUAUCAACACCGUGGAAGAUGUUGGUAACAUCAUAUUCUUACAUCAGCUGAAACAAUGGAGGAAAGAGGAAGCCUUGACUUUUCUUGGCAUGACUGAAUGGGAAAGGGGAUAAAACAUGACAAAAAAAGCAGGUAUGAUCUAAUUAAAUCUUUAAACAGAAAAUCCUGUAGAACUUCCUGAUGCCACUUGAUUACAAACAUCUUCCCCUCCACAAGAACUGCCUUAUGGUACCCCUCUUUUCACCAGCCUCUAAGCUACCAGGUAUGAGGAGCUGUCCUGUUUUGCUCCACUGCAACAGUCUGGGCAAGCCCUGUCUGGCAUCUGGUAGUGGUCUGGCAGCAACUCAGUGAAUGACCAAGCCAGGGCACUUAGGACACUCCUUACUGAAGAAUUGGAAGUGUCUCUGCUUGGGGGCAAAAUGACCCCCAACAUUCAGGCCAAAGACCCAACCACAGUCACAGCUUUGCCUUGCAGAUUCCUCCACGUGAAGAGGUCAUCUACUCUUGAUAAAAGUCAAUACCUUGGUAAGAUGCUUUGUGACUGUUCCAGGCUGCAGGAAAUAGACUAGCAAGGCUGAAUUGUGCAUGAUUUCUUCUAUUUCCUUGUGUCAGGAAGGGUUUCUGGCUUGGAAAGCUGCCUUCUGUUCAGUGCUCCAGUCACCUGUGUGGAAUCUGAUCAGAUUUCCUAUCUGUGCCGGCGCUGCCUUAGCAAAGAAACUGUCUUGGCAAGAGUUUAAAAUACCUCUUGGAGAGCCUGAUAAAGUCCCUCCCUGCCAAGAACUAUCCUUUGCAAUGACAAUGCAAAUUGACAUAUUGAAUCCACUGUAAGCAUAUGAUUUAAGUGCCCCCUGUACCUUGUGGGCAGGUGCUUUCAGUCCUGGUUUUGGGGACAGCAUCUGGCUUGCCGAAGCUUGCAGCAGAGUCAGGAGCCAAGACAGCAGUAGGACUCCAACAGUUCUUGAUCUGGUGCUGCUUUUGGACAAGGACACUUUGCCUUCUUAUAACUUCAGGCACAUGGAGAAAUUCCAUUCUUGCUGCAGAACAGCACUUAAGUAGCUAGGAAUAGUCUAGGAAUAUUGUUUUCCUUUCUUGGUGGCACAGAAGAUUAACCUCAAAAGGUCAGUGCAUGUGGGGAAUUGAUGGGCUGAGAGAACCAUGAAGUUCUGCCUGCAGCCUCUUCCACAGCUUGCAGUUCCAAGAGCAUUGCCAGCACCAGCUGGCUCAGUCCUCCUGCCUGUACUUAAGCGAAGCUCCUGCUGCCAACAAUUAACUUUGAACAGCAUAUUUCAAAUGCCAUGAGCAUUUUGAGUAAGGACCACAAUUGAGCUCCAAAUGGCUGUGAACAACCAAACUGACCUUUGGCAUCUUCCUGCCUAACCUGCAGGAAAUCUGCAAGUUGACUAAAGCGGCAGAACAAAUCAGUGUUUUUUUCCUAUAUGAGACCAUAUUUUCCAUCUGCAUGAAACCAGCAGCUCCCAACUGAAGAACCAAACCAGCAUUUAAAAUUCAUCCAGUCCCAAGCUGUUACAUUCCAGUAUUUGCUCUGUUUAUGGAGAUACAACCAUGGUGAGUGAACAGGGAGAAAACAACCCAGGCUUUUUCCACCACUAAUAGAACUACUUACAUUUUCACCACCUCUUCCCUUUAUGUUCUCAACUCUUUAAUUCUGCAUAACCAUAUAAUUCCAUCUGCAGACACAUGGUCUUUAUCAUGCCACCCUCAGAUAUUCAAAACACAGCCCUUGCCUCCUUCCAUCAUGACAGAUCCUCUGCAUCCCAAUCCUAGGCUUUUUGCUGUAAGUUCACAUGCUUUCAAAGGCCAAGGAUAUCUUAUCUGGGCUAAGAAAGCAUUAUGAGUUUCUAUCACUGUGGGCAAUGUUUAAUUAUUGUUCUUCUUUUGUAAAGUAAAAACUAAACAAAGCAAUCACAUUAUUCCCUAAAUAGCUAAAUAUCAGCAGUGAGUGAAGUGUUCCUUGAAUAUUCCUUUAUGGGUGUUGCGAAAUCCUCCAAUCCAAACUCUGCUUUGAUGCAGCACUGGGAUGUAGCUCUAUAGUGAGUGUCCAGCCUCUUUAAAAUCCCCCUUGCAAUACAUCUUCAGAUAUUUCAUAGAAGAAAUGCUCUUUUUAGUGAUGCCAACUCCCAGAAUGGCACAUUCUCUGGACCACUCUAGUGCGCCAGUGUAAUACCUGUGAUACUACUAAUGGAGGGGACUCUCCUUUGGUGGCAAUAAUGUGGGGUCAUCUGAUGGGGCCUUCCUGUCUCUAACUGCUGCCACAGAAAAAUCAGGAAGAGAGAGCUGACAGCUCUGGGAGUCCUUCCCCUGCCCCACAGAAUAGAAUCUGCAAAGCAAAAAUAAGGUCAGACACUUUCAAAUUGCUGCAAUAGGAGAACAGGGAGAUCAUUUUAUAUCUAGUUCUAGAAAAGGCUAAAAAUAAGCCUGAUGGGAGGCAGAAGACAGCCUGAAAAUGGAUUAUUCUCAUUUUUUCUGUAAUCUAAUUUGCAGCAGGGCUUGGUUAAGACAGCAGACACGGUGUGUGGACGAGGGAUGGUUCUUUCUGUGGCUUGCACUAGCUUGUCUGCAAUGAGUCCUUUCUUUCUCGUGUUUGUACCCCCACUUUCCAGAUGAACCCUUCAUCCGCACUGCUCCUCGGCAAGUUUCCACACCUCAGCAAAGGUGUUCAUACUUUUUUCCUUAUUAAAUGUUUAAUCUUAAUUUUAGGAGAAAAGAAAAACCUACAAGAGCUGUUUAAAUAACCUGAUUCUUGUGUGAACAAAUGGGCGAACACUUCAGGCUUGCAGCUCUCUCUGGAGUGCUGAGUGGCACCUAGUUAAAUAAAACCCUUCUGUUCUGUCCA